UGGGGAAUAUUGCACAAUGGGCGCAAGCCUGAUGCAGCCAUGCCGCGUGUAUGAAGAAGGCCUUCGGGUUGUAAAGUACUUUCAGCGGGGAGGAAGGGAGUAAAGUUAAUACCUUUGCUCAUUGACGUUACCCGCAGAAGAAGCACCGGCUAACUCCGUGCCAGCAGCCGCGGUAAUACGGAGGGUGCAAGCGUUAAUCGGAAUUACUGGGCGUAAAGCGCACGCAGGCGGUUUGUUAAGUCAGAUGUGAAAUCCCCGGGCUCAACCUGAGAACAGCAUCUGAUACUGGCAAGCUUGAGUCUCGUAGAGGGGGGUAGAAUUCCAGGUGUAGCGGUGAAAUGCGUAGAGAUCUGGAGGAAGACCGGUGGCGAAGGCGGCCCCCUGGACGAAGACUGACGCUCAGGUGCGAAAGCGUGGGGAGCAAACAGG
rnacentral:rRNA from 1 species